GGGAAUGUAGUUUAGUGGUAAAGUGCAUGCCUAGCAUGCAUGAAGCCCUGGGUUCGAUUCCUCAGUACCA
rnacentral:tRNA from 1 species